CCUACGGGGGGCUGCAGUGAGGAAUAUUGGUCAAUGGGCGAGAGCCUGAACCAGCCAAGUCGCGUGAGGGAGUACUGCCCUAUGGGUUGUAAACCUCUUUUGUCGGGGAGCAAAAGCCGGACGUGUCCGGCUGUGAGAGUACCCGAAGAAAAAGCAUCGGCUAACUCCGUGCCAGCAGCCGCGGUAAUACGGAGGAUGCGAGCGUUAUCCGGUUUUAUUGGGUUUAAAGGGUGCGCAGGCGGAUUUUUAAGUCAGCGGUAAAAUCGUGGGGCUCAACCCCAUCCAGCCGUUGAAACUGGGGAUCUAGAGUGUGCGAGAGGUAUGCGGAAUGCGUGGUGUAGCGGUGAAAUGCAUAGAUAUCACGCAGAACCCCGAUUGCGAAGGCAGCAUACCGGUGCACAACUGACGCUCAGGCACGAAAGCGUGGGUAUCGAACAGGAUUAGAUACCCCAGUAGUC
rnacentral:rRNA from 1 species